rnacentral:rRNA from 1 species
AGGUUGACCUCGGAUCAGGUAGGGAUACCCGCUGAACUUAAGCAUAUCAAUAAGCGGAGGAAAAGAAACCAACAGGGAUUGCUCUAGUAACGGCGAGUGAAGCAGCAAUAGCUCAAAUUUGAAAUCUGGCGUCUUCGACGUCCGAGUUGUAAUUUGUAGAGGAUGCUUCUGAGUAACCACCGACCUAAGUUCCUUGGAACAGGACGUCAUAGAGGGUGAGAAUCCCGUAUGCGGUCGGAAAGGUGCUCUAUACGUAGCUCCUUCGACGAGUCGAGUUGUUUGGGAAUGCAGCUCUAAAUGGGAGGUAAAUUUCUUCUAAAGCUAAAUAUUGGCCAGAGACCGAUAGCGCACAAGUAGAGUGAUCGAAAGAUGAAAAGCACUUUGGAAAGAGAGUUAAAAAGCACGUGAAAUUGUUAAAAGGGAAGGGAUUGCAACCAGACUUGCUCGCGGUGUUCCGCCGGUCUUCUGACCGGUCUACUCGCCGCGUUGCAGGCCAGCAUCGUCUGGUGCCGCUGGAUAAGACUUGAGGAAUGUAGCUCCCUCGGGAGUGUUAUAGCCUCUUGUGAUGCAGCGAGCGCCGGGCGAGGUCCGCGCUUCGGCUAGGAUGCUGGCGUAAUGGUCGUAAUCCGCCCGUCUUGAAACACGGACCAAGGAGUCUAACAUCUAUGCGAGUGUUCGGGUGUCAAACCCCUACGCGUAAUGAAAGUGAACGGAGGUGAGAACCGCAAGGUGCAUCAUCGACCGAUCCUGAUGUCUUCGGAUGGAUUUGAGUAAGAGCAUAGCUGUUGGGACCCGAAAGAUGGUGAACUAUGCCUGAAUAGGGUGAAGCCAGAGGAAACUCUGGUGGAGGCUCGCAGCGGUUCUGACGUGCAAAUCGAUCGUCAAAUUUGGGUAUAGG